rnacentral:rRNA from 1 species
UUAAGCGACUAAGCGUACACGGUGGAUGCCCUGGCAGUCAGAGGCGAUGAAGGACGUGCUAAUCUGCGAAAAGCGUCGGUAAGGUGAUAUGAACCGUUAUAACCGGCGAUGUCCGAAUGGGGAAACCCAGUGCAAUUCGUUGCACUAUCGUUAACUGAAUACAUAGGUUAACGAGGCGAACCGGGGGAACUGAAACAUCUAAGUACCCCGAGGAAAAGAAAUCAACCGAGAUUCCCCCAGUAGCGGCGAGCGAACGGGGAGCAGCCCAGAGUCUGAAUCAGCUUGUGUGUUAGUGGAACGGUCUGGAAAGUCCGACGGUACAGGGUGAUAGUCCCGUACACCAAAAUGCACAGGCUGUGAACUCGAAGAGUAGGGCGGGACACGUGGUAUCCUGUCUGAAUAUGGGGGGACCAUCCUCCAAGGCUAAAUACUCCUGACUGACCGAUAGUGAACCAGUACCGUGAGGGAAAGGCGAAAAGAACCCCGGCGAGGGGAGUGAAAAAGAACCUGAAACCGUGUACGUACAAGCAGUGGGAGCACCUUCGGGUGUGACUGCGUACCUUUUUGUAUAAUGGGUCAGCGACUUAUAUUCUGUAGCAAGGUUAACCGUAUAGGGGAGCCGCAGGGAAACCGAGUCUUAACUGGGCGUUAAGUUGCAGGGUAUAGACCCGAAACCCGGUGAUCUAGCCAUGGGCAGGUUGAAGGUUGGGUAACACUAACUGGAGGACCGAACCGACUAAUGUUGAAAAAUUAGCGGAUGACUUGUGGCUGGGGGUGAAAGGCCAAUCAAACCGGGAGAUAGCUGGUUCUCCCCGAAAGCUAUUUAGGUAGCGCCUCGUGAAUUCAUCUUCGGGGGUAGAGCACUGUUUCGGCUAGGGGGUCAUCCCGACUUACCAACCCGAUGCAAACUACGAAUACCGAAGAAUGUUAUCACGGGAGACACACGGCGGGUGCUAACGUCCGUCGUGAAGAGGGAAACAACCCAGACCGCCAGCUAAGGUCCCAAAGUCAUGGUUAAGUGGGAAACGAUGUGGGAAGGCACAGACAGCCAGGAUGUUGGCUUAGAAGCAGCCAUCAUUUAAAGAAAGCGUAAUAGCUCACUGGUCGAGUCGGCCUGCGCGGAAGAUGUAACGGGCUAAACCAUGCACCGAAGCUGCGGCAGCGACACUAUGUGUUGUUGGGUAGGGGAGCGUUCUGUAAGCCUGCGAAGGUGACCUGUGAGGGUUGCUGGAGGUAUCAGAAGUGCGAAUGCUGACAUAAGUAACGAUAAAGCGGGUGAAAAGCCCGCUCGCCGGAAGACCAAGGGUUCCUGUCCAACGUUAAUCGGGGCAGGGUGAGUCGACCCCUAAGGCGAGGCCGAAAGGCGUAGUCGAUGGGAAACAGGUUAAUAUUCCUGUACUUGGUGUUACUGCGAAGGGGGGACGGAGAAGGCUAUGUUAGCCGGGCGACGGUUGUCCCGGUUUAAGCAUGUAGGCUGGUUAUCCAGGCAAAUCCGGAUAAUCAAGGCUGAGGUGUGAUGACGAGGCACUACGGUGCUGAAGUAACAAAUGCCCUGCUUCCAGGAAAAGCCUCUAAGCAUCAGGUAACAUCAAAUCGUACCCCAAACCGACACAGGUGGUCAGGUAGAGAAUACCAAGGCGCUUGAGAGAACUCGGGUGAAGGAACUAGGCAAAAUGGUGCCGUAACUUCGGGAGAAGGCACGCUGGUGUGUAGGUGAAGUCCCUGCGGAUGGAGCUGAGACCAGUCGAAGAUACCAGCUGGCUGCAACUGUUUAUUAAAAACACAGCACUGUGCAAACACGAAAGUGGACGUAUACGGUGUGACGCCUGCCCGGUGCCGGAAGGUUAAUUGAUGGGGUUAUCCGUAAGGAGAAGCUCUUGAUCGAAGCCCCGGUAAACGGCGGCCGUAACUAUAACGGUCCUAAGGUAGCGAAAUUCCUUGUCGGGUAAGUUCCGACCUGCACGAAUGGCGUAAUGAUGGCCAGGCUGUCUCCACCCGAGACUCAGUGAAAUUGAACUCGCUGUGAAGAUGCAGUGUACCCGCGGCAAGACGGAAAGACCCCGUGAACCUUUACUAUAGCUUGACACUGAACAUUGAGCCUUGAUGUGUAGGAUAGGUGGGAGGCUUUGAAGCGUGGACGCCAGUCUGCGUGGAGCCAACCUUGAAAUACCACCCUUUAAUGUUUGAUGUUCUAACGUUGGCCCCUGACCGGGGUUGCGGACAGUGUCUGGUGGGUAGUUUGACUGGGGCGGUCUCCUCCCAAAGCGUAACGGAGGAGCACGAAGGUUAGCUAAUCCUGGUCGGACAUCAGGAGGUUAGUGCAAUGGCAUAAGCUAGCUUGACUGCGAGCGUGACGGCGCGAGCAGGUGCGAAAGCAGGUCAUAGUGAUCCGGUGGUUCUGAAUGGAAGGGCCAUCGCUCAACGGAUAAAAGGUACUCCGGGGAUAACAGGCUGAUACCGCCCAAGAGUUCAUAUCGACGGCGGUGUUUGGCACCUCGAUGUCGGCUCAUCACAUCCUGGGGCUGAAGUAGGUCCCAAGGGUAUGGCUGUUCGCCAUUUAAAGUGGUACGCGAGCUGGGUUUAGAACGUCGUGAGACAGUUCGGUCCCUAUCUGCCGUGGGCGCUGGAGAAUUGAGGGGGGCUGCUCCUAGUACGAGAGGACCGGAGUGGACGCAUCACUGGUGUUCGGGUUGUCAUGCCAAUGGCACUGCCCGGUAGCUAAAUGCGGAAGAGAUAAGUGCUGAAAGCAUCUAAGCACGAAACUUGCCCCGAGAUGAGUUCUCCCUGAGACUUUAAGUCUCCUGAAGGAACGUUGAAGACGACGACGUUGAUAGGCCGGGUGUGUAAGCGCAGCGAUGCGUUGAGCUAACCGGUACUAAUGAACCGUGAGGCUUAACCU